UGUAACGUCAUUUUAUUCACACAUAAAAUUAUGUAUUUGAAAAAUGACAUAACAAUACACUGGUGAGAAAUGGUAGUUUGCAAAAAUUGGUCGCCUUCUACACUCUUAAAAUUAAAGAUUGAUAGGCCCAUAUUUAGAGAUUGUCUCCUCCACUAAAAAUGAAAUUUGCAAUCCCUUAAAGCAGUGCCAUACAUUAACACAUAGGUACAUGUAUGUUUAAGGAUAUCAUCUCUCUAUAACAUUUGAAAACUUUUUUUAUUAUGAAAAAAGUGUAUGUCAACUAAAUUUAUAACUAAAAUUCUUAGUUUUGUCACUAGCAAGUUUUACUGCACAGACUUCCCAGUGCCAUUGUACUGUAGAAAGUGGUAUUACAUGUUGAAUGCCAAUGGUUUAGGUUUAUUAGUUCCACAUAAACAUGAAAUUAUACAAAUCUUCACUGCCCAAAUUGGGUUGAGGGCAGCAGCCCCGAUUGCCGGAUCAAAAGUCAAAGUUUGUAAAAUCAUCCCAUGGUGGACUGCACAAUUCAUGUUGCCUGAUAACAUCAUUACAUGGUCCACCUUUGUUCCUUGACAUGCUGCCUUAUAUCAUUACUUCAUGCUCAGAUUGCAACUUGUCCUGCAACUGCCCCUUGCAUUGACCAAAUGAAGAUUUGUAAGAAGAAUACAAAUCGAAGGAUGUUUAUUCAGAUCAGGGAAUGGAUUCAAGUAUCUAUAAAGGUGAAAAUGCAUGGAACAGUCGGUCCUACACAAAAUUGAGGCAGAGAUCGGAUAGCCAGAGAUGGUUUUUUCUAUAAAGUGUUACAAUGAAAAUUGUGAAAGUGAGCUGUGUUUUUGUUUCUAAUUUUCAUUGGAUCUAAUUCACUAUUGGAUUAAUUACAAGAGAUUUCAAGGAUUGGCCCCUAUCAGCUAUGACCUAAUCAAGCCACUUCACUGAGUAAGGGAGAUAAUCAGCUGUUCCCUCUUCUGGUGGCAGCCCUUAUCUUAUUCCCUUUACGGACUUGAUAACUACCAUUGGUAGAAAAGAAGAAACGCAGACAGACGUGGGAAGAAUCUUGCAUCAAUGAACUUCUUCUACAAAUCUCUGAAAAAUUCAUUAUCAAUGUCUCAUGUUGGAUUUGUGAAUGGAAAUUGCAAGUUUUCUGAUAUUCUGCUGCCAUUAUACAUACAGAUAGGAAAUCUGGUUUUCAUUUGAGGUUUCUAAGAGGUGUGGGAAUAUAGUGGGAUAGCCAAACCCUCACACUGGUUUAGAGCAUAACUUUUUAGAUUCAAGCCAUUGCUCUGACAUUCUUUCAUUAACCAUUAUUUGACAAAAAAUUGUUGUAAAUUUAACUUAUUUUCUUAGGCAUUUCUUUAUUUCCUGUGUCCUUUAUCGUGGGGGCAAAUAUAGGGAGAGGAUUAAAAGCUGAUAAAACGUCUGAGUUUGACAAGCUACUUGUCAUUGUAAUCCUUCAACUCUUAGCGCUGAAAAUCAGACUGUCUAUGCUCUAUUAAACACCAAAUGCUAUUAAUUUUAAAUUAAUAUUUAGAAGCACUUUUGCACAGUAAAAUGAUUUGAUAAUUUAAGGUGAUCUGCUCCACUGGAGAUAAGUCCAGGUAAAUUCACUUGAUGUAUGUUUUGUGCUCUAAACGUCAUUUUCAAAGCACAAAUAGAUCUGAAAUUGAAUUUGUAUAUUUAAUUUUCUUUUAUUUGAAAAGAUAGUAGUUUUAAGUAUGAUAUACAGUCAUUUCUAAGGCUGCUUAAUCAAAUGAGACUUUGAAAAAAAACCCAAAAAACCAGGUUUUUGAUGUUUUUUGGUUUGUCAAUAGAUAACAGCAUUUUUUUUGGAGUCAAGGUAGAACAAGGCUUUGAAUUAUCUUUGUGACAUUGUAAUGUGUGUCAUACAGUCUGUUAAAGGGGAGAUCUAUUGGUCAGAGACCCUGGAGCCAAAAACCUCAGUGUUAGGGUACAAUUUGGGGUGACUGACCCCCGUCAAAUUUCAGAGAUAAGAACCAUUGAUCACCAUUUAUUUUCUGGAUUGUAAACACUUACUUUAUUCCUUGUACUGCACUUCAAGGUUUCUCUUUCAAAAACUCUAUGUUAUGAUCCCAAGACAUUUGUUUGUACAUGGUAUUCUGUGUAUGUAAAGAUUUUUAUUUGAAAACAUCAUCUUUGUCAUCAAAAUAAAUACAGGUUUAAAGGAA